rnacentral:rRNA from 1 species
CCUACGGGGGGCAGCAGUGGGGAAUAUUGCACAAUGGGGGAAACCCUGAUGCAGCGACGCCGCGUGAGUGAAGAAGUAAUUCGUUAUGUAAAGCUCUAUCAGCAGGGAAGAAACUGACGGUACCUGAGUAAGGAGCCCCCGCUAACUACGUGACAGCAGCCGCGGUAAUACGUAGGGGGCAAGCGUUAUCCGGAUUUCAGGGGUGUAAAGGGAGCGUAGACGGCAAUGCAAGUCUGGAGUGAAAGGCGGGGGCUCAAACCCCGGACUGCUCUGGAAACUGUACGGCUGGAGUGCGGGAGAGGUAAGUGGAAUUACUAGUGUAGCGGUGAAAUGCGUAGAGAUUAGGAGGAACACCAGUGGCGAAGGCGGCUUACUGGACUGGAACUGACGUUGAGGCUCGAAAGCGUGGGGAGCAAACAGGAUUAGAUACCCGAGUAGUC